rnacentral:rRNA from 1 species
GAUGAACGCUGGCGGCGUGCCUAAUACAUGCAAGUCGAGCGAACAGAUAAGGAGCUUGCUCCUUUGACGUUAGCGGCGGACGGGUGAGUAACACGUGGGUAACCUACCUAUAAGACUGGGAUAACUUCGGGAAACCGGAGCUAAUACCGGAUAACAUUUGGAACCGCAUGGUUCUAAAGUGAAAGAUGGUUUUGCUAUCACUUAUAGAUGGACCCGCGCCGUAUUAGCUAGUUGGUAAGGUAACGGCUUACCAAGGCGACGAUACGUAGCCGACCUGAGAGGGGGAUCGGCCACACAGGAACUGAGACACGGUCCAGACUCGUACGGGAGGCAGCGGUAGGGAAUCUACCGCAAUGGGCGAAAGCCUGACGGAGCAACGCCGCGUGAGUGAUGAAGGGUUGCGGCUCGUAAAACUCUGUUAUUAGGGAAGAACAAACGUGUAAGUAACUGUGCACGUCUUGACGGUACCUAAUCAGAAAGCCACGGCUAACUACGU